GGGCUUUUCAAGGGACCGGUUGCA
rnacentral:siRNA from 1 species